rnacentral:rRNA from 1 species
CCUACGGGAGGCAGCAGUCGAGAAUCAUUCACAAUGGGGGAAACCCUGAUGGUGCGACGCCGCGUGGGGGAAUGAAGGUCUUCGGAUUGUAAACCCCUGUCAUGUGGGAGCAAAUUAAAACGAUCGUACCACACGAGGAAGAGACGGCUAACUCUGUGCCAGCAGCCGCGGUAAUACAGAGGUCUCAAGCGUUGUUCGGAAUCACUGGGCGUAAAGCGUGCGUAGGCUGUUUCGUAAGUCGUGUGUGAAAGGCGCGGGCUCAACCCGCGGACGGCACAUGAUACUGCGAGACUAGAGUAAUGGAGGGGGAACCGGAAUUCUCGGUGUAGCAGUGAAAUGCGUAGAUAUCGAGAGGAACACUCGUGGCGAAGGCGGGUUCCUGGACAUUAACUGACGCUGAGGCACGAAGGCCAGGGGAGCGAAAGGGAUUAGAUACCCUUGUAGUC